rnacentral:lncRNA from 1 species
GUCCGUACGGAAGUGCGUGUAAUAUUAUCUUCAGCAGCACCAGGGGGUCGCGUGUAAUCCGAUCACUGAUUUUCAAUUUUCAGAUCAUGGCUGAAACGGCGAUAUCAAUCAAUAUUUUUAAUAAAUUUUCCAGUUUUCGGAAUUUGACAAGGGAAUACGAUAGUAUGAACUUCAAAGAAUGAUAUUAUUUUAAAAUAGGGACUCAAAAAUAAU